UUGGACUGCCUUAACUGGAUAUUUUUCCUUUUGUAACUGCUUUAAUCUGACGAUUAAGAACGCUUAGAUUUAACAUUCACCAUCAAAGAAGCUACUGCACAUGAGAAAGAGAAAAACAUCAAGAUCUAAAUUGCAGAUUGCUUUUAUAUUAAUGCUUCAAAUUAAUGAUUGCGUAGUUACUAUAGUGUCAUGGCAUCAUAAGGUUAUUGUGAUGAGCUUGGUACUUGUCCUGCUAUCACCCUAUGCUUCACACUUAAAAAUUUAUCAUUUGUGAUAAUGAGCUAACGCAGGAGAAAAGGGAACCCUAAGUUGUCAUUCUAGUAUAGGUAAAAAUAAAGUGCUUGCAUGUAACAUCCAUGCAUUGACAUCUCCGUUUAAGUAUAAAAUCAUAGUAUAGUGAUGAUAAUGUCUAUACCCGAAUGAAGUCGCCAAUGUUUACUAUAAAAGCUCGAGGAAGAGGAGGGGUCAACAGGCUACUUCGAUGAGGGCCUCUGAUAUUGUCUUGAAGAAGAAUUGAGAGUCAAGAUUGGUCUGCAUGUUUUUUGUAAUGCCCGCAUAUUGGAGGAAAAAAUUGGGGUUCUAGUUGAUCAUCAAGGAAAUCAAAUGCUUCUAGAGUUAGAAGCAUAUCUCCAUUGCAGAAAUACCAAACAGGUUUGCUUAUAAUCCCGUGUGUACCAUGUAAUUGGCUUACACCACCUUCAGAAAUGUCAACAAAUGAUAGCUGGAAAGUACUGAGCGAUUGGCGUGGGCUAAAUUUAGAACUGAAGCAGGAAAAAGAAAAAGGGCAAAGAGGCUUUGAAUGAAAAGGAUGGCGUUUAAAAGAAGCACUAGGUAGUGAUCAUUCAUGCAUGAGCAAGGCUACAAAGAUGAUUGGUCGAACGAAUGAAUAAAAAGAUUAAAAGAACAAAUUCAUGCCUUCCGCCUUUGAUACUAUAUAUAAUAUUAUAAAAAAUAUUGAAAGGUGUAGAUGUAGGUUGGGUUGAUGGUUUAAGGCAGUCACACUGUGUGGGUAUCGGGAGUCGUUAAGAGUAUUCUUUUAGGUGAUCGGAGAAGUCUAAGCACAGUUUUUGUAAUAAA
rnacentral:lncRNA from 1 species